GACGAACGCUGGCGGCGUGCUUAACACAUGCAAGUCGAGCGGUAAGGCCCUUUCGGGGGUACACGAGCGGCGAACGGGUGAGUAACACGUGGGUGACCUGCCCUCAGCUCUGGGAUAAGGCCUGGGAAACCGGGUCUAAUACUGGAUAUGACUCCAUGACGCAUGUUGUGGGGGUGAAAGCCUUGUGCGGCUGAGGAUGGGCCCGNGGCCUAUCAGCUUGUUGGUGGGGUGA
rnacentral:rRNA from 1 species